UUAAGCGACUAAGCGUACACGGUGGAUGCCCUGGCAGUCAGAGGCGAUGAAGGACGUGCUAAUCUGCGAUAAGCGUCGGUAAGGUGAUAUGAACCGUUAUAACCGGCGAUUUCCGAAUGGGGAAACCCAGUGUGAUUCGUCACACUAUCAUUAACUGAAUCCAUAGGUUAAUGAGGCGAACCGGGGGAACUGAAACAUCUAAGUACCCCGAGGAAAAGAAAUCAACCGAGAUUCCCCCAGUAGCGGCGAGCGAACGGGGAGGAGCCCAGAGCCUGAAUCAGUGUGUGUGUUAGUGGAAGCGUCUGGAAAGGCGCGCGAUACAGGGUGACAGCCCCGUACACAAAAAUGCACAUAUUGUGAGCUCGAUGAGUAGGGCGGGACACGUGGUAUCCUGUCUGAAUAUGGGGGGACCAUCCUCCAAGGCUAAAUACUCCUGACUGACCGAUAGUGAACCAGUACCGUGAGGGAAAGGCGAAAAGAACCCCGGCGAGGGAGUGAAAAAGAACCUGAAACCGUGUACGUACAAGCAGUGGGAGCACGCUUCGGCGUGUGACUGCGUACCUUUUGUAUAAUGGGUCAGCGACUUAUAUUCUGUAGCAAGGUUAACCGAAUAGGGGAGCCGAAGGGAAACCGAGUCUUAACUGGGCGUUAAGUUGCAGGGUAUAGACCCGAAACCCGGUGAUCUAGCCAUGGGCAGGUUGAAGGUUGGGUAACACUAACUGGAGGACCGAACCGACUAAUGUUGAAAAAUUAGCGGAUGACUUGUGGCUGGGGGUGAAAGGCCAAUCAAACCGGGAGAUAGCUGGUUCUCCCCGAAAGCUAUUUAGGUAGCGCCUCGUGAAUUCAUCUCCGGGGUAGAGCACUGUUUCGGCAAGGGGGUCAUCCCGACUUACCAACCCGAUGCAAACUGCGAAUACCGGAGAAUGUUAUCACGGGAGACACACGGCGGGUGCUAACGUCCGUCGUGAAGAGGGAAACAACCCAGACCGCCAGCUAAGGUCCCAAAGUCAUGGUUAAGUGGGAAACGAUGUGGGAAGGCCCAGACAGCCAGGAUGUUGGCUUAGAAGCAGCCAUCAUUUAAAGAAAGCGUAAUAGCUCACUGGUCGAGUCGGCCUGCGCGGAAGAUGUAACGGGGCUAAACCAUGCACCGAAGCUGCGGCAGCGACGCUGAUGCGUUGUUGGGUAGGGGAGCGUUCUGUAAGCCUGCGAAGGUGUGCUGUGAGGCAUGCUGGAGGUAUCAGAAGUGCGAAUGCUGACAUAAGUAACGAUAAAGCGGGUGAAAAGCCCGCUCGCCGGAAGACCAAGGGUUCCUGUCCAACGUUAAUCGGGGCAGGGUGAGUCGACCCCUAAGGCGAGGCCGAAAGGCGUAGUCGAUGGGAAACAGGUUAAUAUUCCUGUACUUGGUGUUACUGCGAAGGGGGGACGGAGAAGGCUAUGUUGGCCGGGCGACGGUUGUCCCGGUUUAAGCGUGUAGGCUGGUUUUCCAGGCAAAUCCGGAAAAUCAAGGCUGAGGCGUGAUGACGAGGCACUACGGUGCUGAAGCAACAAAUGCCCUGCUUCCAGGAAAAGCCUCUAAGCAUCAGGUAACAUCAAAUCGUACCCCAAACCGACACAGGUGGUCAGGUAGAGAAUACCAAGGCGCUUGAGAGAACUCGGGUGAAGGAACUAGGCAAAAUGGUGCCGUAACUUCGGGAGAAGGCACGCUGAUAUGUAGGUGAAGUCCCUCGCGGAUGGAGCUGAAAUCAGUCGAAGAUACCAGCUGGCUGCAACUGUUUAUUAAAAACACAGCACUGUGCAAACACGAAAGUGGACGUAUACGGUGUGACGCCUGCCCGGUGCCGGAAGGUUAAUUGAUGGGGUCAGCGCAAGCGAAGCUCUUGAUCGAAGCCCCGGUAAACGGCGGCCGUAACUAUAACGGUCCUAAGGUAGCGAAAUUCCUUGUCGGGUAAGUUCCGACCUGCACGAAUGGCGUAAUGAUGGCCAGGCUGUCUCCACCCGAGACUCAGUGAAAUUGAACUCGCUGUGAAGAUGCAGUGUACCCGCGGCAAGACGGAAAGACCCCGUGAACCUUUACUAUAGCUUGACACUGAACAUUGAGCCUUGAUGUGUAGGAUAGGUGGGAGGCUUGGAAGUGUGGACGCCAGUCUGCAUGGAGCCGACCUUGAAAUACCACCCUUUAAUGUUUGAUGUUCUAACGUUGACCCGUAAUCCGGGUUGCGGACAGUGUCUGGUGGGUAGUUUGACUGGGGCGGUCUCCUCCUAAAGAGUAACGGAGGAGCACGAAGGUUGGCUAAUCCUGGUCGGACAUCAGGAGGUUAGUGCAAUGGCAUAAGCCAGCUUGACUGCGAGCGUGACGGCGCGAGCAGGUGCGAAAGCAGGUCAUAGUGAUCCGGUGGUUCUGAAUGGAAGGGCCAUCGCUCAACGGAUAAAAGGUACUCCGGGGAUAACAGGCUGAUACCGCCCAAGAGUUCAUAUCGACGGCGGUGUUUGGCACCUCGAUGUCGGCUCAUCACAUCCUGGGGCUGAAGUAGGUCCCAAGGGUAUGGCUGUUCGCCAUUUAAAGUGGUACGCGAGCUGGGUUUAGAACGUCGUGAGACAGUUCGGUCCCUAUCUGCCGUGGGCGCUGGAGAACUGAGGGGGGCUGCUCCUAGUACGAGAGGACCGGAGUGGACGCAUCACUGGUGUUCGGGUUGUCAUGCCAAUGGCACUGCCCGGUAGCUAAAUGCGGAAGAGAUAAGUGCUGAAAGCAUCUAAGCACGAAACUUGCCCCGAGAUGAGUUCUCCCUGACCCUUUAAGGGUCCUGAAGGAACGUUGAAGACGACGACGUUGAUAGGCCGGGUGUGUAAGCGCAGCGAUGCGUUGAGCUAACCGGUACUAAUGAACCGUGAGGCUUAACCUU
rnacentral:rRNA from 1 species